CAAAUAGGGAAGAGGUGAAUCAGCAAAAUGAAGGUACUACGUAGAAAAAAGCCCGUUGGGCUUAGAAAUGAAGGCCCAACGGAUAAGGGCAAGGGGAGUAUUCAGAUUCAUUUCAUUCCAUUUUCUCCUCAAUCAGACGCCUUCAUCUCACUCUCUUGACAAACUCCCUUCGCCGGAAAUCACUCUGCCAUGCUGAAGGCGGCGGUGCAACCCAACUUAGCCUAAAACCACCAACAUUUUGCUUGGCUUUUUCCCCUUUAUCCACCUCUCACAUUCAAAUUACCUAAAUUUCAAUGAACUCUCCAAACCACUAAAAAAAUCACAAGAACCCUAACUCUCCUAAACCAAAAUUAAAUGACAAAGGAGGGGAUUCAAAGCAUGAUACCUUGGGGCUUUGGUUCCCCUCAAUAUCCUCUACAUCUUGGUAACAACUUUAAAGCAGAAAAAGUAAGAAGUGGAAGAUCCUACCUACAAGGACGUGAUUUUCCCUGGGAACUAUUGAAGGGUUUUGAAUAUGCUGGUGGAGCUAAGAAGACUAGAGGAUUGAUAUGGGUUGGCAUGGUGAACCUAAGGCCUUGGACAUGAUAUGGCUUAGCAUUUUUUGGCCUUUCAAGGUGGAAGCUAGGCAUGAAGAGUUUCUUAAAGAAACUUGGAGUCAUACAAGAAUGGAGGAUCUUGAGGAUGAAGAAAAGGUAGGAUUAGGUAGUCAGUUUGACUUUGGUCAAUUGGUUGACCAAAAAGUCAACAUUUGACCAAAAGUCAACCUUAGGUCAAAAGAUGGAUUUUUUGUGUAAUGUUUGAAAUUUUUGGAUUUUGUAAUGUAAUAUUUGAUAUUAUAAUAUAAGUCUUGGCCUUGAACUGUAAUGUA